rnacentral:rRNA from 1 species
UACGUAGGCAGCGAGCGUUGUUCGGAGUUACUGGGCGUAAAGGGUGUGUAGGCGGUUGUUUAAGUUUGGUGUGAAAUCUCCCGGCUCAACUGGGAGGGUGCGCCGAAUACUGAAUGACUAGAGUGCGGGAGAGGAGAGUGGAAUUCCUGGUGUAGCGGUGAAAUGCGUAGAUAUCAGGAGGAACACCGGCGGUGUAGACGGCUCUCUGGACCGUAACUGACGCUGAGACACGAAAGCGUGGGUAGCGAACAGG